GCCAACAUAGUUCAGUAGGUAGAACGCACCCAUGGUAAGGGUGAGGUGGCCGGUUCGAUCCCGGCUGUUGGCUCCA
rnacentral:tRNA from 1 species